AUUGAACGCUGGCGGCAUGCCUUACACAUGCAAGUCGAACGGCAGCGGACCUUCGGGUGCCGGCGAGUGGCGAACGGGUGAGUAAUGUAUCGGAACGUACCUUUCAGUGGGGGAUAACGUAGCGAAAGUUACGCUAAUACCGCAUAUUCUGUGAGCAGGAAAGCAGGGGAUCGCAAGACCUUGCGCUGAUUGAGCGGCCGAUAUCAGAUUAGCUAGUUGGUGAGGUAAAGGCUCACCAAGGCGACGAUCUGUAGCGGGUCUGAGAGGAUGAUCCGCCACACUGGAACUGAGACACGGUCCAGACUCCUACGGGAGGCAGCAGUGGGGAAUUUUGGACAAUGGGGGCAACCCUGAUCCAGCCAUGCCGCGUGAGUGAAGAAGGCCUUCGGGUUGUAAAGCUCUUUCGUCCGGGAAGAAAUCGCAUCAGCUAAUACCUGGUGUGGAUGACGGUACCGGAAUAAGAAGCACCGGCUAACUACGUGCCAGCAGCCGCAGUAACAC
rnacentral:rRNA from 1 species